CAAAAGAAUAAAUAGGAUUUUGGAGAGGUUCCUUAGAGUCUCUGCAAUUUCACACUAUCAAAUUAAAGUGUCCAUGUAUCUGAGGAUGGAUGAGUGAUAUUCCUGCUAGGUGCUAGGUGGUCUCCAAUCCCAUGAAUAAUUUCACUGUGUCACUGUGGGCGGUCCUUCUGAAGGAGAUUGUGUGGGCAGGGGGCCGGGUAAUGAUAGAUGUACCAGGCUUCCCUUUCAUCGCCCUAUUCACCUUACCGUAGGUUAACAGAUGUGGGGACAAAGCAGAUCCAAAAGCCUCACUGAUGGAGAAGAAAAUAGCCUGGAACAGCUUUUGCACCACAGACAACUCCCACACAGCUUCACAGUAUCACCUGCUGCCAAGGAGGUGUGGUCUCCGCCUGGGCAUCCCCGAAGGGUGUGGCCUGCAACAGCUGACGACAAUCAGCCAUCAAGGGACUCCCAUAUGAACCCGGGUCUUCCUGCCAUUCAGCGCCAGAUAGUUCUGCCGUCAGAGUGUGCUCGAGGAUUCCUACCUGCCGGCUAGCGGGUCCUCCGAGGCCAUUCUUCCCUGCGGAGUCAACCUGUCCUCGUGCGCCCUUUUUAUAUGUUUAAAUAAAUAUCUUAUUUUUCAAGUCGGAAGAACCUCCCUGUGACUCCUGUGUGCUGC
ensembl:lncRNA